rnacentral:rRNA from 1 species
CCUACGGGUGGCAGCAGUGGGGAAUAUUGCACAAUGGGGGAAACCCUGAUGCAGCGACGCCGCGUGAGUGAAGAAGUAUUUCGUUAUGUAAAGCUCUAUCAGCAGGGAAGAAAAUGACGGUACCUGAGUAAGAAGCCCCGGCUAACUACGUCCCAGCAGCCGCGGUAAUACGUAGGGGGCAAGCGUUCGCCGGAUUUACGGGGUGUAAAGGGAGCGUAGCCGGCAGUGAAAGUCUGGAGUGAAGGGGGGGGGCUCAACCCCGGGAGUGCUAUGAAAACUGGGCGACUGGAGGGCAGGAGAGGAGAGGGGAAUUCGGAGGGUAGCGGUGGAAUGAGGAGAUAUUAGGAGGAACAGCAGGGGAGAGGGAGGAUCGCUGGACUGUAAAUGAGUUGGAGGUUAGAAAGGGGGGGGAGAAAACAGGAUGAGAUACCAUUGUAGUC